CUCAGUUCACACAGGUCUAAAAACACAGACACAGUGUCUCAGUUCACACAGGUCUCUACAUACACCGACACAGUGCCUCAGUUCACACAGGUCUCUACAUACACAGACACAAUGUCUCAGUUCACACAGGUCUCUACAUACACAGUCACAGUGUCUCAGUUCACACAGGUCUCUACAUACACAGACACAAUGUCUCAGUUCACACAGGUCUCUAUAUACACAGUCACAGUGUCUCACUUCACACAGGACUCUACAU